UUUAUAUAUCAUUCAUCUCUUAAUAGGCACAUCUUAGAUCAUUCUGGACACAAACCAUAAGAACGUGAAGAAUGUGGGGUGAGGUGAUAUAAAUGUAAACAAUGUGGGAAAAACCAUUAUCUCUCUCAUAAACGUCCAAUGACACAUGGUAACACACGCCAGAAAUAGACCUCAUAAAUAUAAGAAAUGUGGGAAAACAUUUAAUUUUCUCUAUGUACUUCAAAUGCAUAAAGUAACUCACAUUGGAGAAAAACCCUGUGAAUAGAAGAAAGGUGAUAAAGCCUUGAGAUUUUGAAGUUCUUUUCAAAAGCAUGAAAGAACUCACAGUGGAGAAAAACCUUAUAAAUGUCGGAAAUGGCAUAAAGCCUGUGGAUAUUCCAGUCAGCUUCAGAAUCAUAAAGUACUCAUACUUAAGAGAAACUGGCAAUGUAGGAAAUGCGGGAAAGAAUUCAGUUGUCUUAGUUAUUUUCAAGCACGUAAGAGGGUUCACAAUGGUGAAAAAUCUUCUGUGGUUAAUUAAUAUGGUAAGGAAUUUACUCUUUCUAGUUCCCUACAGAAACAUGAAACAAAUUAUACUGGAAAGAAACCCUAUAAAUGUAAGAAAUGUGGUGAAGUCUUCAGUCAUUCCUCCUCCAAGCUAAGUCAAAAAGAAUACAUACUGGAGAGAAAUCCUAUGAUUGUAAAAAAAUGUGGGAAAGCCUUCAGUCUAUACAGCUCCCUCAGAAGACAUGAAACAGCUCAUACUGGGGAGAAUCCCUAUGAAUAUAAAAAAUGUGAUAAAGCCUUCAGUCUAUAGAGUUCCCUCAGAAGACAUGAAACAGCUCAUACUGGAGAGAAUCCCCAUGAAUAUCAAAAAUGUGGUAAAACCUUCAGUCUAUACCAUUCCCUUAGAAGACAUGAGAGAGCUCAUUCUGGAGAGAAUCCCUAUAAAUGUCAAAAAUGUGGUUAACACCUUCAGUUGUUUCAGUUACCUUCAAAUACAUGAGAGAACUCAUACCAGAGAGAAACCUUAUGAUGUAAAAAAUGUAGUAAAACCUUCAGACAUUUAGGUUCCAUUUGAACACAUACAAAAUUUCAUACUGGAGAGAAACCUUAUAAAUGUAAAAUAAUGUUGCAAAGCCUUUAUUUGUUUCAAUUACCUUGAAACACAUGACAGAAUUUAUACUGAAAUUUUAUGACUAAGAAAUGUGGUAAAGCCUUCAGCUAUUGCAGCUCUCUAGGUAAACAUGAAAGAACUCACACUGGAGAGAAUCCCUAUGACUAAGUCAUGUGGCAAAUCAUUUAGAUAUUCUAGUUCUGUAUGUAAACAUGAAAGAACUCAUACUUCAUAGAAAUCCUAGGAAUGUAAGAAAUGUGGGAAAACAGUUGAGUUUUUUUGAAAACAUGAAAUUAUACAACAGAAAAAUCCUAUGUGUAUGAGAAAUGUGAUAAAAACUUUCUGUUUCAGUUCCCUCUGAACACACUGAAAAACUCAUUUGAAGGAAACCAAUGAAUGUAAGGAAUACGGGAAAGCACGCAAUUGUUUCACUUUCCUUUGAAAAUACAAAACACUCAUACUGAAUGAAAAAAACUGCAUGUAAACAAUGUGGUAAUGCCCUAAGUGUUUCCAUUUCUAGUUGAGGACAUGAAAGAACUAAUUCCUGAAUAACCCUACAAAUAUGCGGAAUGUGGGAAUGCCUUUCUCUCAAGUACUUUCAAAGACACAUGGCAUAUCCACAAUGGAGAUGGAUCUUAUGAAAGAAUGUAUUCUGUAUCUAAAUCCUCAUAGUUUGCAAAACAUAGAUGUCUUCAUUUUAAUAAUUAU
rnacentral:lncRNA from 1 species